rnacentral:misc_RNA from 1 species
AACGCACAUUGCGCCCAUUGGUAUUCCGAUGGGCAUGCCUGUUCGAGCGUCAUUAUCCUCCCUCAAACCUCGUGUUUGGUGUUGGACCGUGUUGGUUGAAUGACCAACUGGUCUCAAAGACAAUGACGGCGUCCGUGGGACCCUCGGUGCAACGAGCUUCUUAGGAGCACGCGUCGAGUUUCAAGGACCUUCCGGGCCGGUCUUGACCUAUAUUUUCUUAGGUUGACCUCGGAUCAGGUAGGAAUACCCGCUGAACUUAA